UAGUAAGGUGGCGGACGGGUGAGUAACACGUAAAGACUUGCCCUGCAGUCUGGGACAACUACUGGAAACGGUAGCUAAUACCGGAUAUUGCCGCAUGGCGAAAGCUAUAUGCGCUGCAGGAGAGCUUUGCGUCCCAUUAGUUAGUUGGUGAGGUAACGGCUCACCAAGACCACGAUGGGUAGCCGGCCUGAGAGGGUGAACGGCCACAAGGGGACUGAGACACGGCCCUUACUCCUACGGGAGGCAGCAGUGGGGAAUAUUGGACAAUGGACCAAAGUCUGAUCCAGCAAUUCUGUGUGCACGAUGACGGUCUUAGGAUUGUAAAGUGCUUUCAAUCGGGAAAAAGAAAGUGAUGGUACCGAUAGAAGAAGCGACGGCUAAAUACGUGCCAGCAGCCGCGGUAAUACGUAUGUCGCAAGCGUUAUCCGGAUUUAUUGGGCGUAAAGCGCGUCUAGGCGGUUUGGUAAGUCUGAUGUGGAAAUGCGGGGCUCAACUCCGUAUUGCGUUGGAAACUGCCAGACUAGAGUACUGGAGAGGUGGGCGGAACUACAAGUGUAGAGGUGAAAUUCGUAGAUAUUUGUAGGAAUGCCGAUAGAGAAG
rnacentral:rRNA from 1 species